AUAUAGGAAUAUGCGAAAUCAUGCUAAAUUUUACAUGGAAUCUAUACAAAACUCGAGUACAAAAUUUGUAUGUUUUAGAUUAUACUUUUUGUAGACAGGGUGAGUGACCUCAUCUCAUGACUCGAAUAAUGAACGGCAGAAUGAAAAGUAGUUAAAGACCAAAAUCGUUCUUAUUUCUAAUAAAAGCACAAAACUUCCAGGUCACAGAAUACUACUAUUUCUCGUCGAUGCCUGAAUAAUAAUAUUUCGUUAGUAUGAUGAGUAUUGAUUGGAUUCGAAAGUGAAAGUAACGCAAUUUGUCACGUGAUGCGUUGCGCCGACGCAAUAUCGAAAAGUUUAAAAAAUAAAACAAGCUUUAUGCUUUUCUAUGGAGAUCGGCGAAGUUCGCUGAAGGUAUCUUGAAUUGUCAUUUUCAUUUUAUUACUUGAGAGAGGCUACAAAGAGGGCAUCCCUGGAUCAGCCCCUGAGAUGACUAACCUGUACGAAUAAGGCAUCUAAUAUGGGCUGACGAAGUUGAGGGUUACGUCGCAUCACAUCAUAGAGGCCCUGUACGGAGAAAAAAUGAAACGACUCCAGUGAGAGGGAUCUAGGGAGCGGAAGUAAUUAGGGUAUUUCACAAAUAACCAGUGCAGAGAAGGCAGAGGGGGAUACAGGGGAGGAAUGAUGGAUAGAAGGAUAUCUUGGAUGACAUUUUAGUAUUUUAUUAGGUCAAUCAUGCUGGUAAUGGAUGUAAUGAGGUAAUGAAUCCUGUACAAACAGAGCCAAUAGUGAUCAGUAUUGCUGACAUGGACUCGCUCACUAGGCUAUCCCCUUACCUGGUGAAGUACAAGUUCUUAGGUGGCACUUCAAAAGGUCACACUCUCAUUAGGCCACACCCACAUUAGGCCACACCCUCAUUAGGCUAUCCCCUUACCUGGUAAAGUACAAGUUCUUAGGUGGCACUUCAUUAGGUCACACUCUCAUUAGGCCACACCCACAUUAGUCCACACCCUCAUUAGGCUAUCCCCUUACCUGGUAAAGUACAAGUUUUUAGGUGGCACCUCAUUAGGUCACACUCUCAUUAGGCCACACCCACAUUAUGCCACACCCUCAUUAGGCUAUCCCCUUACCUGGUAAAGUACAAGUUCUAAGGUAGCACUUCAUAAGGUCACACUCUCAUUAGGCCACACCCACAUUAGGCCACACCCUCAUUAGGCUAUCCCCUUACCUGGUAAAGUACAAGUUCUUAGGUGGCACCACAUAAGGCCACACCCUAAUUAUGCCACACCCACAUUAGGCUACACCCUUAUUAGGCUAUCACUUUACCUCAUAAAGUACAACUCGGACAUCUGCUUGCUGUGUGAAGCAUCGCCUUAAGUUACCUACACAUACAAGAGUAGGGAAAAAUAAAAGCAAGAUAUGCAAAGAGUGGUUUCUUCAUUGGCCCAAAGCCCCACCCCCUUCCAUCUACCCCAAUGCAAUCGAUAACAGUCAGUCUCUUCUUGUAGAAGCAUGGUCAGAGUUUGAGCACAUUUCAUAGGAUAUUUAAGCCUUUGCACCUGAAUACGCUCUUAUGUAUUUGAUCUCCUUCAUGUUUUCUGGACUGAUACUCUAAGAAAAGCACAUGUUUCACAGGUUAAUGAACAAAAUAAAACCCUGACCUAGUAUUUCAAGGCAGAGCGCCUCGUUACCAGCUCCACCUUGGAUAUGCACAUCCGCCUGGACCUGGCUUGACUGUGAGAAUGUCUGACUGAGUUGACUGGACGCUGAGAUGCCACCACCCAUCACCUGAUACCACAAACGAUGACAAGUCACUUUAUCAGCGAAGGGUUACGAAGAAAGAACAACACAGUCUAGCUCCAGCAAUCCUCUUGUGUUUGGUGUUCCAGCCCGCGAGCCAGAUUGUUGAGUGCAAAGAGAGACCAAGUCUGGAAAAGUGGUAGGCAAUAUAACCCGAUACUGUUGGGUGACCCCAUCCCCAGCCCCUCUUGCUUCACGUCAACCACAGGAAACCCAAUAAGAUGCCAGGGACUAGUCUGAGAAUUAAAAUGAAUAAUCUACAUACCUUGAGAACAUGGCUUUUCUCAGUACUAGAAUAAGUGUAUCCCUUAGAGACAAGCUGAUCUUCAUCAAAGGCUAGUAGAGAAAAAACAAUUCUUUUAAAUGCCUCUCAUCCAAGUCAACUUAAACAACAACAAGCUGUAAACCUGUAUAAAAGGGAAAGCUCCUCCCACCCCAGGGCUCGAAUUCGCAAUUAUAAUCUGAACACUGCCACACUAGCGGUCACAAAUUAUAAGCCUCCUGUAAAUUUGCUUAUCUCUGAGCCUGAGUAGGUUAGAAUAAAAAUGUUUUGCACAGGUAACAAGACAGUUGCAUUAAGAGAUUGUGAAGUAGUGAUUUGCUGUCCACUCACGUUUUCAGGGCAAAAUUUUAAAUUUUGUGCUGUCCGUAAUGUAACACAUCUGCAUAAAUUAAUUUUGCGCUGUGAUGAAAAUGCUAUGUUUUAGAGCACACAAGCUUGGUUUAGGUGGACAAGUCUAGGAAUUAUAUUUAAUUUGGUUUGGAAUAUGAAAUUUGAAUUUAGCGCUCAGAGCAAUUGUCCUGACAUGUUGACUUAUUGACGGCUGAUUGAUACCUGAUUGUUCUUGAGCCCGGGGGUGGGAGAAGCUUUCCCUUUUAUAAUGGAACCUCCUGUUUAAAGGCCAGGUUUCGGUAUAAAAGGCUGAUCCUAUAGUUUCAGCUGUCUCACUUUUAAGUUAGGUGCACUAUGAAAGAAUGUGUAUUAAGUGCAUCAGGCAUUUGGGUUUUGGGAACCAAUAGCAACCCUACACACCCCUAGAGAAAAGCAUUUUAUUCAUUAAAAAAAUAUAUUAACAUCUAUCAGUGCUAUUAAGCAUAGCAUUCUAGCAUGUUUACCUUGACAGUUUUGUGACUUACCCUAAGUGAGGAUGCAAGUAACAAACUGACUGACAUGAAAUUCACUUGCCAACCACAAUGCCUCAUGAGAUACAUAAUGCACCAUUUGUUUUUACUGGUUUACUUUAAUGGUUUAUUUUACUUCUCAUCAGACUGAAAGUAUUGUAUGGGCAAACACAUAGGCACAUAAGAUACAGAGAACGGGAGAAACAAACCUGCAGGGCCUUGAGUAGUCCCACUGCUGUACUGGGUGGUAGGAAGGAAAGAUAGUCCAGUGCUUCCUUAACCUGAUAAAGAAACCUUUUAAAGCCAGCCAGAUGAGGUGUGCCAUAAAUCCAUUUUAUGAACACAAUAACAGGUACCAUGAAGCAUUCACUUCCACUGGCUAGUUUAAGUGCGAUAUAUUUUCAAUAAAAUACUGCUAUGAAGUAUCAGGCUUCAAUCAGGGAUGGUUAUUUUGAAGUUUUCUAGCAAAUAGAUCCUUGUAUUUAAUUGAUUACAUAAAACAA